rnacentral:rRNA from 16 species
ACAACUUUCAGCAACGGAUCUCUUGGCUCUCGCAUCGAUGAAGAACGCAGCGAAAUGCGAUAAGUAAUGUGAAUUGCAGAAUUCAGUGAAUCAUCGAAUCUUUGAACGCACCUUGCGCUCCUUGGUAUUCCGAGGAGCAUGCCUGUUUGAGUGUCAGU